CUGUGACAGCUGCUCCCGCAGCAAUGCAGCUCGGGGAUGGCCUCGUUUGCAGUGUGCAGCGGUGGGGACAGCUAAUACUCAGAGUUUCUGAAGGUCUGAGCCUCACUCAUAGCCCCACCAAUAUCUGUCUGUUCUUGUGACCCUCGCAGGAACUUCACAGAGCAAGUAAGCAAACCCAGCAGAUGGAUCAGCCUCUGCACAGAUAGAUACUUUGCAAAGCUGUAUUCCUUUCUGGGAAAUCACUGACCUCACCAGACAUCCUCAGUGUUGCAGCAAGAGCCAGGCUGCAUUCCCAGUGAUGUUGAAUUGACUGCAUGUUUGACAGCCAUGUCACCUUCUCUGACAUCUAAGGAGGCAUUUCCUUUGCUCCCUGACCAGCAACUUG